UUACAGCCCAACAUCUCCCAGCUAUAGCCCAACAUCACCAUCCUACAGUCCAACAUCACCAAGUUACAAUCCCUCGGCGAGAUACAGCCCCUCCCUUGCGUAUUCGCCAACUAGCCCGAAGCUGUCUCCUUCUAGUCCAUACAGCCCGUCAUCUCCAAGUUACAGUCCCACAUCACCAUCGUACUCUCCAACAUCUCCAUCAUAUUCUCCUUCAAGCCCAACCUAUAGUCCCAGCAGCCCAUACAACAACUCAGGUACAAGCCCAGAUUAUAGUCCCAGUUCUCCCCAGUACAGUCCAAGUGCAGGGUACUCACCAAGUGCUCCUGGGUAUUCACCAUCAUCUACUAGCCAGUACACCCCACGUGUGAGUGAGAGAGACAACAGAAGUGUCAAAGAUGACAAGGCUGGGUGAUCAUUAGGGAGGGAACGAAGUUGUAUUUACUUGAAACUUUAAUCUUUCAGUUGCUAAACUGGCUCAUUAGUCAUUACUGUGCUUUCUGAAGGCAUAAGAUUGCUGUAUAAUAUUUUUCGAAGAACACAGGCUUUGUUCUAGUUUCUGGGUUUCUCUUUUCCAGUCUAGAAUACUUUGGGAUUAUAUUAUAUAAAGAUGCAGAAAACAUGGUUCCUUCUUUUAAAGUAGUGUGAGAACUUAGG
rnacentral:misc_RNA from 1 species